AACCUCCACAAUGCGCGAAAGCGUGAUGGGGGGAUCCCGAGUGCUUACAUUUAUUGUAAGCUUUUGCCAAGGGCAAACACCUUGGAGAAUAAGUGGUGGGUAAGACCGGUGCCAGCAGCCGCGGUAACCCCGGCGCCACAAGUGGCAUUCUUGUAUUUGGCCUAAAGCAUUCGUAGCCGGUUUGGAAAAUCCUUUGUGAAAUCGUUGAACUCAAUACAACGGCAUGCAGGGGACACUUCCAAGCUUGAGACUGGGAGGAGUUGGGGGUAUUCCUAGGGGAGCGGUUAAAUGUGAUAAUCCUAGGAAGACUACCUGUGGCGAAGGCGCCCAACUAGAACAGGUCUGACGGUGAGGGAUGAAAGCUAGGGGAGCGAUCCGGAUUAGAUACCCGAGUAGUCCUAGCUGUAAACUCUGCGAGCUAGGUGUCGCAUAUUCUACGCGAAUAUGCGGUGUCGAAACGAAGGUGCUAAGCUCGCCGCCUGGGAAGUACGGUCGCAAGACUGAAACUUAAAGGAAUUGGCGGGGGAAUACACCAGCGGUGCGGCGUGCGGUUUAAUCUAACUCAACGCAGAACACCUCACUAGAAGCGACGGCAGGAUGAAGGCCAGUCUGAAGGGCUUGCCUGACGAGCCGAGAGGUAGUGCAUGGCCGUCGUCAGCUCGUGUCGUAAGAUGUCCAGUUAAGUCUGGCAACGAGCAAGACCUGUAUCUAUAAUUGCUAACGGGCCCUUCGGGGUGACUGUGCACAUUAUAGGGACUGCCCUCGUAAGGGGGAGGAAGGUGCAGGCAGCGGUAGGUCUGUAUGCUCCGAAUCUUCUAGGCUACACGCGCGCAACAGUGGUAAAGACAAUGGGAUGCAACACCGAAAGGUGAAGCUAAUCCUCGAAACUUUAUCGUAGUUUAGAUUGUGGGUUGCAACUCACCCACAUGACAACGGAAUCGCUAGUAAUCAGACUUCAUCAUAGUCUGGGGGAAUAUGUCCCUG
rnacentral:rRNA from 1 species